rnacentral:rRNA from 1 species
GUGGCAGCCGCCGCGGUAAUACGGAGGGUGCGAGCGUUAAUCGGAAUUACUGGGCGUAAAGCGUGCGUAGGCGGCUGUUUAAGUCAGAUGUGAAGGCCCCGGGCUUAACCUGGGAACGGCAUUUGAUACUGGGCAGCUAGAGUUUAGGAGAGGAGAGUGGAAUUUCCGGUGUAGCGGUGAAAUGCGUAGAGAUCGGAAGGAACACCAGUGGCGAAGGCAGCCCCCUGGGCCAAUACUGACGCUCAUGCACGAAAGCGUGGGUAGCAAACAGGAUUAGAUACCCUGGUAGUCCACGCCCUAA